rnacentral:miRNA from 1 species
CUUUUUGCGGUCUGGGCUUUCU